rnacentral:rRNA from 1 species
GGACCCGCACAAGCGGUGGAACAUGUGGUUUAAUUCGAUGCAACGCGAAGAACCUUACCUGGGCUUGACAUGUUCACGAAAGUUUUGUGAAAACAAAACCCUCUACGAGCUUGCUCAAAGACGUGAUCACAGGUGAUGCAUGGCUGUCGUCAGCUCGUGUCGUGAGAUGUUGGGUUAAGUCCCGCAACGAGCGCAACCCCCUAUCCUUAGUUGCCAGCACAUUAUGGUGGGGACUCUAAGGAGACUGCCUAGGAUAACUAGGAGGAAGGUGGGGAUGAUGUCAAGUCAGUAUGUCCCUUAUGUCCAGGGCUACACACGUGUUACAAUGGUUAGUACAAAGGGUCGCAAAGCCGUAAGGUUGAGCCAAUCCCAAAAACUAACCUCAGUUCGGAUUGGAGUCUGCAACUCGACUCCAUGAAGUCGGAAUCGCUAGUAAUCGU